rnacentral:rRNA from 1 species
GGACGAACGCUAGCGGCGUGCUUAACACAUGCAAGUCGAACGGAAAGGCCCUGCUUUUGUGGGGUGCUCGAGUGGCGAACGGGUGAGUAACACGUGAGUAACCUGCCCUUGACUUUGGGAUAACUUCAGGAAACUGGGGCUAAUACCGGAUAGGAGCUCCUGCUGCAUGGUGGGGGUUGGAAAGUUUCGGCGGUUGGGGAUGGACUCGCGGCUUAUCAGCUUGUUGGUGGGGUAGUGGCUUACCAAGGCUUUGACGGGUAGCCGGCCUGAGAGGGUGACCGGCCACAUUGGGACUGAGAUACGGCCCAGACUCCUACGGGAGGCAGCAGUGGGGAAUAUUGCACAAUGGGCGGAAGCCUGAUGCAGCAACGCCGCGUGCGGGAUGACGGCCUUCGGGUUGUAAACCGCUUUCGCCUGUGACGAAGCGUGAGUGACGGUAAUGGGUAAAGAAGCACCGGCUAACUACGUG